rnacentral:misc_RNA from 1 species
GAUGAAGAACGUAGCGAACGUGCGAAACGUAAUGUGAAUUGCAGAAUUCAGUGAAUCAUCGAGUCUUUGAACGCACAUUGCGCCCCCUGGUAUUCCGGGGGGCAUGCCUGUCCGAGCGUCAUUGCUGCCCUCAAGCACGGCUUGUGUGUUGGGCCUCCGUCCUCCUCCCGGGGGACGGGCCCGAAAGGCAGCGGCGGCACCGCGUCCGGUCCUCGAGCGUAUGGGGCUUCGUCACCCGCUCUUGUAGGCCCGGCCGGCGCUUGCCGACACAUCAAUCUUUUUUCCAGGUUGACCUCGGAUCAGGUAGGGAUACCCGCUGAACUUAAGCAUAUCAAUAAGCGGAGGA